UACGUAGGGGGCUAGCGUUGUCCGGAUUUAUUGGGCGUAAGGAGCGUAUAGGCGGCCAGGUAGGUCUGGUGUGAAAACUCGAGGCUUAACCUCGAGAUGUCAUCGGAAACCAUCUGGCUAGAGUCCGGAAGAGGAGAGUGGAAUUCCUGGUGUAGCGGUGAAAUGCGCAGAUAUCAGGAAGAACACCAAUGGCGAAAGCAGCUCUCUGGGACGGUACUGACGCUGAGACGCGAAAGCGUGGGGAGCGAACAGG
rnacentral:rRNA from 1 species